CAGCCGCCGCGGUAAUACCGGCGGCCCGAGUGGCGGCCACUAUUAUUGGGCCUAAAGCGUCCGUAGCCGGGCUGGUAAGUCCUCCGGGAAAUCUGGUCGCUUAACGAUCAGACUUCCGGAGGAUACUGCUGGCCUAGGGACCGGGAGAGGCCGAGGGUAUUCCCGGGGUAGGGGUGAAAUCCUGUAAUCCCGUGAGGACCAGCUGUGGCGAAGGCGCUCGGCUGGAACGGGUCCGACGGUGAGGGACGAAGGCCAGGGGAGCGAACCGGAUUAGAUACCCGGGUAGUCCUGGCUGUAAACGAUGCGGACUUUGUGUCGGACAAGCUAUGAGCUUGUCCGGUGCCGGAGGGAAACCGUUAAGUCCGCCGCCUGGGGAGUACGGCCGCAAGGCUGAAACUUAAAGGAAUUGGCGGG
rnacentral:rRNA from 1 species